CCGGCAGUGAGUCGGCGGGGGAUAAGCUCCGUCGUCGAGAGGGAGACAGCCCAGAUCGUCGUCUAAGGUCCCGAAGCGUGUGCUAAGUGGGAAAGGAUGUGGAGUCGCAUAGACAGCCAGGAGGUUGGCUCAGAAGCAGCCACCCUUGAAAGAGUGCGUAACAGCUCACUGGUCUAGUGGUUCCGCGCCGACAAUGUAGCGGGGCUCAAGCACGCCACCGAAGACGCGGCAGCGUCCGUUUGGAUGCUGGGUAGGAGAGCGUCCCCAUCGGGGCGAAGCGGCGGCGCAAGCCUGCCGUGGACCGUUGGGGAGUGAGAAUGCAGACAUGAGUAGCGAGAGGCGGGUGCGAAUCCCGCCCGCUGGAUGACCAAGGGUUCCGGGGCCACGUUCGUCGUCCCCGGGUGAGUCGGGUCCUAAGGCGAGGCCGACAGGCGUAGUCGAAUGGAUGAACGGGCUGAUAUUCCCGUACCGGCAGCGAACCGAAACAACCGAGGCCUGGGGCGCUAACCUCCGGGCCCGUGCCGUCUCCCCUUUCGGGGGGUCGCGGCGCGGGCGCGUUGGGAUCCCCCCUCGUAGUAGGUCAGCGCAGGAGUGACGCAUCAGGGCAGCCGGCCGCGGAGGUGGUUUUCCGUGGUCAAGCGUUCGAGCCCGUCCCGCAGGCAAAUCCGCGGGGCGUCGGGGCGAGGCGUGAUGAUGGGGGCCUUACGGCCCGAAUCCGGUGAUCCGUGGUGCCGAGAAAAGCUUCGGCGUCAGGCGCGUUGCCGCCCGUACCCCAAACCGACACUGGUGGUCAGGUAGAGAAUACCAAAGCGAUCGAGCGAAUCCUGGUCAAGGAACUCGGCAAAUUGCUCCCGUGCCUUCGGCAUAAGGGAGACCCCCUGCGGUGAUGAGCGGCGGGGGGUGGCACAGGCCAGGGGGUAGCGACUGUUUACCAAAAACACAGGAGCGUGCGAAGGCGCAAGCCGCUGUAUACGCUCUGACGCCUGCCCGGUGCCGGAAGGUUAAGAGGAUCCGUCAGCUUCUGCGAAGCGGUGAAUUCAAGCCCCGGUAAACGGCGGUGGUAACUAUAACCAUCCUAAGGUAGCGAAAUUCCUUGUCGGGUAAGUUCCGACCUGCACGAAUGGCGUAACGACUUCCCCACUGUCUCGACCAGGAGCUCGGCGAAAUUGCAGUACGAGUAAAGAUGCUCGUUAAGCGCAGAAGGACGAAAAGACCCCGGGACCUUUACUAUACCUUGGUAUUGGCAUUAGGCGCGGAUUGUGUAGCAUAGGCGGGAGGCUUCGAGGCGGGUGCGCCAGCAUCCGCGGAGCCGCAAGGUGAAAUACCGCUCUGUUCUCGUUUGAUGUCUAACCUCGAACAGUCAUCCUGUUCAGGGACAGUGCCUGGCGGGUAGUUUAACUGGGGCGGUUGCCUCCCAAAGAGUAACGGAGGCGCUCAAAGGUCCGCUCAGCCCGGUUGGCAAUCGGGUUUCGAGUGUAAUCGCACAAGCGGGCUUGACUGCGAGAACGACGGUUCGGGCAGGGACGAAAGUCGGAGAUAGUGAUCCGGUGCCGGCGCACGGGCGCGGCAUCGCUCAACGGAUAAAAGGUACCCCGGGGAUAACAGGCUGAUCAUUCCCAAGAGUCCAUAUCGACGGGAUGGUUUGGCACCUCGAUGUCGGCUCGUCGCAUCCUGGGGCUGGAGCAGGUCCCAAGGGUUCGGCUGUUCGCCGAU
rnacentral:rRNA from 1 species